rnacentral:tRNA from 1 species
GGGCCGGUAGUCUAGCUGGUUAGGGCGCUAAGCAUUUAGCUAGCACGACAAGGACACCGUGCUCACACCGCGGAGGUCGCCGGUUCGAAUCCGGCCCGGCCCA